GGGGAUGUAGCUCAGUGGUAGAGUGCAUGCUUAGCAUGCAUGACAUCCUGGGUUCAAUCCCCAGCAUCUCCA